AUUGAACGCUAGCGGGAUGCCUUACACAUGCAAGUCGAACGGCAGCACGGACUUCGGUCUGGUGGCGAGUGGCGAACGGGUGAGUAAUGUAUCGGAACGUGCCCAGUAGCGGGGGAUAACUACGCGAAAGCGUAGCUAAUACCGCAUACGCCCUACGGGGGAAAGCAGGGGAUCGCAAGAUCUUGCACUAUUGGAGCGGCCGAUAUCGGAUUAGCUAGUUGGUGGGGUAACGGCUCACCAAGGCGGCGAUCCGUAGCUGGUUUGAGAGGACGACCAGCCAGAUUGGGAGUGAGAAACGGCCCAGACUCCUGCAGGAGGCAGCAGUGGGGAAUUUUGGACGAUGGGGCAGAGCCUGAUCCAGGCCUCCCGCGUGUGCGAUGAAGGCCUUCGGGUUGUAAAGCAAUUUUGGCAGGAAAGAAACGUCGCUGGUUAAUCCCUCACGAAACUGACGGUACCGGCAGAAUAAGCACCGGCUAACUACGUG
rnacentral:rRNA from 1 species